rfam:Prevotellaceae bacterium HTN156 genome assembly, contig: IE21DRAFT_scaffold00004.4
ACCGCCGGGUAUCCGCGUCUGGUUUGGAUAAGCGCUGAAAGCAUCUAAGUGCGAAGCCAUCCGCAAGAUGAGAACUCCAUUGAGGGUCGUUCUAGACGAGGACGUUGAUAGGAGGCAGGUGUAAAGACGGUGACGUCAAAGCCGAGCCUUACUAAUUGCCCGAAUGCUUUCGCAGC